rnacentral:rRNA from 1 species
GUCGAGAAUCUUUCACAAUGGGGGCAACCCUGAUGGAGCGACGCCGCGUGGAGGAUAAGGUCUUCGGAUUGUAAACUCCUGUCAUGCGUGAACAAGGUUGCUUGGUUAAUACCUGGGCAAAUUGAUGGUAACGCAAGAGGAAGAGACGGCUAACUCUGUGCCAGCAGCCGCGGUAAUACAGAGGUCUCAAGCGUUGUUCGGAAUCACUGGGCGUAAAGGGUGCGGAGGUGGCGUGGUAAGUCAGAUGUGAAAGCCCGGGGCUCAACCUCGGAACUGCAUCCGAUACUGCCAUGCUAGAGUACUGGAGAGGUGACUAGAAUUCUCGGUGUAGCAGUGAAAUGCGUAGAUAUCGAGAGGAAUACCAAAGGCGUAGGCAGGUCACUGGACAGUUACUGACACUGAGGCACGAAGGCCAGGGGAGCGAACGGGAUUAGAAACCCGGGUAGUCC